rnacentral:rRNA from 1 species
UACGUAGGGGGCAAGCGUUGUCCGGAAUCAUUGGGCGUAAAGCGCGUGUAGGCGGCUCGGUAAGUCUGCUGUGAAAUUCCAGGGCUCAACCCUGGGAUGCCGGUGGAUACUGUCGAGCUCGAGUCCGGAAGAGGCGAGUGGAAUUCCUGGUGUAGCGGUGAAAUGCGCAGAUAUCAGGAGGAACACCAAUGGCGAAGGCAGCUCGCUGGGACGUGACUGACGCUGAGACGCGAAAGCGUGGGGAGCAAACAGG